UACGAAGGGGGCUAGCGUUGUUCGGAAUCACUGGGCGUAAAGCGCGCGUAGGCGGCUUUCCAAGUCAGGGGUGAAAUCCCGGGGCUUAACCCCGGAACUGCCUUUGAAACUGGGAGGCUGGAGACUCGGAGAGGAUAGUGGAAUUCCAAGUGUAGAGGUGAAAUUCGUAGAUACUUGGAGGAACACCGAUGGCGAAGGCAGCUAUCUGGACGAGCACUGACGCUGAGGCGCGAAAGCGUGGGGAUCAAACAGG
rnacentral:rRNA from 1 species